AACGCUAAAGACAAGUGUUAUUCAUCUUAAUUGGGUUUAAAGCGUUCCUAGACUGUAUUAACUAAACUAAAUUAAUAGUACUUUUUUACUAGAGUUUUAUGUGAUAAAGGAUAACCCUUGAAGUAAGGUUAAAAUAUUUAAAUAUCAAGGGGAGUGACAUCGGCGAAGGCUCUUUUAUAUGUAUAACUGACGUUGAGGAACGAAGGCAUGGGUAAUGAUAAGG
rnacentral:rRNA from 1 species